GACGAAGGUGGCGAGCGUUGUUCGGAAUCACUGGGCUAAAAGCGCACGUAGGCGGCGGCGUAAGUCGGGUGUGAAAUCCCUCGGCCCAACCGAGGAACUGCGCCCGAUACUGCGUUGCUUAGGAUCAGAGGGGUGCACGGAAUUUCGGUGGAGCGGUGAAAUGCGUUGAUAUCGGAAGGAACGCGGCGGCGGAAAGCGGUGCACCUGGCGUGAUUUCUGACGCUGGAGGUGCGAAAGCCCAGGGG
rnacentral:rRNA from 1 species